rfam:Oryza nivara chromosome 2, whole genome shotgun sequence.
AAAAAGACAAAUUAUGGGUCUAGUAUCAACGUUUGACUAUCCGUCUUAUAUGAAUUUUUUUUAUAAUUAGUAUUUUCAUUGUUGUUAGAUGAUAAAACAUGAUUAAUACUUUAUGCGUGACUUAUCUUUUUAAUUUUUUUUAUAAUUUUUUUAAAUAAAACGGACGGUCAAACGUUGAACACGAAAAUCAGGGUUUGUCUUAUU